rnacentral:rRNA from 1 species
UACGUAGGGUGCGAGCGUUAAUCGGAAUUACUGGGCGUAAAGUGUGCGCAGGCGGCCGCGCAAGUCGAGUGUGAAAGCCCCGGCUUAACUUGGGAAUUGCGCCUAAUACUGUAGAACUAGAGUACUGUAGAGGAAAGUGGAAUUUCCGGUGUAGCGGUGAAAUGCGUAGAUAUCGGAAGGAACACCAGUGGCGAAGGCGACUUUCUGGACAGAUACUGACACUGAGGCACGAAAGCGUGGGGAGCAAACAGG